rnacentral:rRNA from 1 species
CCUACGGGUGGCAGCAGUGAGGAAUAUUGGUCAAUGGGCGCGAGCCUGAACCAGCCAAGUAGCGUGAAGGAUGACUGCCCUACGGGUUGUAAACUUCUUUUAUAAAGGAAUAAAGUGAGGCACGUGUGCCUUUUUGUCUGUACUUUAUGAAUAAGGAUCGGCUAACUCCGUGCCAGAAGCCGCGGUAAUACGGAGGCUCCGAGCGGUAUCCGGAUUUAUUGGGUUUAAAGGGAGCGUCGAUGGGUUGUUAAGUCAGUUGUUAAAGUUUUCGGCUCAACCGUAAACUUGCAAUUGAUACUGGCAGUCUUGAGUACAGUUGAGGUAGGCGGAAUUCGUGGUGUAGCGGGGAAAUGCUUAGAUAUCACGAAGAAUGCCGAUGGCGAAGGCAGCUUACUAAACUGCCACUGACAUUGAUGCUCGAAAGUGUGGGUAUCAAACAGGAUUAGAUACCCGGGUAGUC